rnacentral:rRNA from 1 species
GACGAACGCUGGCGGCGUGCUUAACACAUGCAAGUCGAACGGAAAGGCCCUGCUUGCAGGGUACUCGAGUGGCGAACGGGUGAGUAACACGUGGGUGAUCUGCCCUGCACUUCGGGAUAAGCCUGGGAAACUGGGUCUAAUACCGGAUAGGAGCCAUUUUUAGUGUGAUGGUUGGAAAGUUUUUUCGGUGUAGGAUGAGCUCGCGGCCUAUCAGCUUGUUGGUGGGGUAAUGGCCUACCAAGGCGGCGACGGGUAGCCGGCCUGAGAGGGUGGACGGCCACAUUGGGACUGAGAUACGGCCCAGACUCCUACGGGAGGCAGCAGUGGGGAAGAUUGCACAAGGGGCGCAAGCCUGAUGCAGCGACGCCGCGUGGGGGAGGACGGCCUUCGGGUUGUAAACUCCUUUCGUUAGGGACGAAGCUUUUUGUGACGGUACCUAGAUAAGAAGCACCGGCUAACUACGUG